ACACCUUUGGUGUAACGGUAGCAUGUCGUCGGACCAAUGCAAUGCGUUCGACCGACGAGCGGUCCGGGUUCGACUCUCGGUGGGUGUA